GGCAGGAACCCAACUGCAAACUCUUUCUCUCUCUUCCCCCACGAACUGAAAUUACUAAAUGUUUCCAUCAGGCAUUUCAGCUGUGACCUCAGGUCUGGACCUCGGUGUGCCAUACAAAGCCCAUGGACACACCAGCCCACAUAAUACAUGCUACACACUGCUGAAAGGACAGCCUGCAUGGGAUGAGGCGCCUGGGACAGCUGAGCACACUCCUGCACAUGGCAAAGCCGCAUCGGUUGCAGUGAGAUGAGAUGGCUGAGGAAAACAUGGAUAUAUGCACAAGCAGACAGAAAAGAAGUUUCUGAAUAACGCACCAGCUUGAACCACUGGAAAGAAACAAAUAAAUGAGCUGGCAGCUUUCACAGGGAGGAGCCUUGAAGCCCAGUUCCCAAGACCACGCCAACCAGCUCCAUGUGACAGCAUACAGGAAUGAAAAUAGGAACCAUCCUGAUCACCACUCGCCUUGCAGCAAAGGAUGUUUUUUUUCUCACCUAACUCCCAACAAUGUUGGUAUCUACAUCUGCUCAGCCACAUUCAACUCCCACCAGAGUUAAUGGAGUGAGUAGGCACUUCUGAGGAGCAAAUCGCCUGGCCUACAGCAGAUGCCUUCCUGAGGAUAAGAUCAGUAUCACCCCCUGACAGCUGUGAAGACCAUUUAGCUCUAGGUCAGCCGUACAUGUACACAUACAGCCAGAUGAAUCCUAUCCCAAGUGAGCUGCUGCAACAAAUCAAAACCACAGUUGUUUUACACACAGAAUUGGCCUUGGGUGCAUCCUUUUCUCCUUGUUCAUCUGUUUUGCACUGUUCUAAGAUGCUUUUUAUGGCUGACCCUAAGACAGGGAACCCACUGCUGUUUCUACACCUCCAACAAGCAACAAGAACAUGAAGACCUCCACGUGUGCACAGGCGGUGCUGCUUUAGCACAAAGGUUUGAAGCAGAACUGGUUAGCCAAGUUCUUACAUGUAGACAUAAAGCCCCAGCAGAGACCUUUGCAAACAUCUCUGCUGGUCCCCUGCGUUACUGGUCAGUGUUUCACCCAGCAGAUCUCUGAACUUAGAAAGUUACUUGGUUCACUGGUAUAAUUACAGGUAUAUUCCCGUUGGAUUUGGCAGCAUUUGCUAACCAAACAUCAUGCAUUAGCUCCUAAGAGAAAGACAUUAUUUAUUUUACCCACACAAGGUUUAUCUUGUGGUAGCCAUCAACUUUCCAUGGAAAGAUCACACUCUAAUGCUAUACAUCAGUCAUUAGAGGCAGCUUCUAAACUUUAAUAUCUCCAAAGGAACAAUAAUUGCAACCCUUUCAAUAUUUAAUAUUUGCAGACAAGCGGAAUGAACUCACUGGAAUCAGCAGGUGGUGUAUGUUCAGCUGCUCAGAGCAACAUUCGGCCUGCUUAUUCCCAGCGAGGGCAGCUGACACCCGAGAAGCAAUGCCCUGUGAAUGUACCAUUCAGCGGGUAGGAGAGCCCAGAGUUUGUAUGGUAGACAUCAAAGUGUUUUGUAACAUGCAGAUGUUUUCCAUGCAGAGCGGAAAAAAAAGUGAUGGACAAGAUUUUGUAAAUUCUGUGCUGUGCUUUUUUCUUCAUUUUCUCCUUGACCUACCCCCAUUUCCUUGUAUUUUCUUGUAUGUAAGAAUGAUACUAUUAAAAAUGAU